CAUACCUAUUCGAAGGGAUAGGGUCGGCUCGGCCGGAUUUUACACAAGUGUUGCAUGGCUGUCGUCAGCUCGUGUCGUGAGAUGUUGGGUUAAGUCCCGCAACGAGCGCAACCCUCAUCCUUAGUUACCAUCAGGCUAUGCUGGGGACUUUAAGGAAACUGCCAGUGAUAAACUGGAGGAAGGUGGGGAUGAUGUCAAGUCAUCAUGGCCCUUAUGGAGUGGGCUACACACGUGCUACAAUGGUGAUUACAAUGGGCUGCAAGGUCGCAAGGCUGAGCUAAUCCUAAAAAAUCAUCUCAGUUCGGAUUGUUCUCUGCAACUCGAGAGCAUGAAGUUGGAAUCGCUAGUAAUCGUGGAUCAGCAUGCCACGGUGAAUACGUUCUCGGGUCUUGUACACACUGCCCGUCACGCCAUGGGAAUUGGUUUCACUCGAAGCU
rnacentral:rRNA from 1 species